rnacentral:misc_RNA from 1 species
UUUCCGUUGGUGAACCUGCGGAGGGAUCAUUACUGAAUAACCGAGUCGCGAGGGCUGGUGCUGACCCGACUUGUUGUGCACGCGGAAGAGCCCGCACACGCUUAAACCUGACCCCCAGGUGCACGACCGCGUGGCUCCGCUUUUGGCUUGUACGGCGGGGGGAUAACGUUUUCACACAAAAAUUGUAAGCAGUGUAGAAUGUAUUUUUUGUUUCUGCGAUCAAGCAAUCAAUACAACUUAGAACAAGGAAUCACUUGGCUCUCGCUACGAUGAAGAAUG